rnacentral:rRNA from 1 species
AACGAACGCUGGCGGCGCGUUUUAAGCAUGCAAGUCGAGCGGCAAGGGCCUUCGGGCCCCUAGAGCGGCGGACGGGUGAGUAACACGUGGACAAUCUGCCCCCCGGCCGGGGAUAGCCCAGGGAAACCUGGAUUAAUACCGGAUGAGACGGGACCCGCGAUGGCGGGAUCCGGGAAAGGCGCUACGGCGCCGCCGGGGGAUGAGUCUGCGUCCCAUUAGCUAGACGGCGGGGUAACGGCCCACCGUGGCGACGAUGGGUAGCCGGCCUGAGAGGGUGGACGGCCACAUUGGAACUGAGACACGGUCCAGACUCCUACGGGAGGCAGCAGCUAAGAAUCUUCCGCAAUGGGCGAAAGCCUGACGGAGCGACGCCGCGUGAACGAAGAAGGCCGUGAGGUUGUAAAGUUCUUUUCGGGAGGGGGAACAACCGUGGCAGGGAAUGGCCGCGGGAUGACGUGAAUCCCGGAAUAAGCCCCGGCUAACUACGUGCCAGCAGCCGCGGUAACACGUAGGGGGCGAGCGUUGUUCGGAAUCAUUGGGCGUAAAGGGCGUGCAGGCGGUCCUGCAAGUCCGGCGUGAAAGACCCCGGCCCAACCGGGGGGACGCGCUGGAAACUGCGGGGCUUGAGUACAGGAGGGGAUGCCGGAAUUCCAGGUGUAGGGGUGAAAUCUGUAGAUAUCUGGAAGAACACCAAUGGCGAAGGCAGGCAUCUGGCCAUGUACUGACGCUGAGACGCGAAGGUGCGGGGAGCAAACA